rnacentral:rRNA from 1 species
CCCUUAGACGUUCUGGGCCGCACGCGCGCUACACUGACCAGUGCAACAAGCAUCCGUCCUUGGCCGACAGGCUCGGGCAAUCUUUGAACGCUGGUCGUGAUGGGGAUAGACUUUUGCAAUUGUUGGUCUUCAACGAGGAAUUCCUAGUAAACGCAAGUCAUCAACUUGCAUUGAUUACGUCCCUGCCCUUUGUACACACCGCCCGUCGCACCUACCGAUUGAAUGGUCCGGUGAAGCCUCCGGAUUGGCGCGCACCUCGGUGCCGCCGAGAAGUUGGCUAAACCUUACCAUUUAGAGGAAGGUGAAGUCGUAACA